rnacentral:misc_RNA from 1 species
GAUGAAGAACGUAGCGAAAUGCGAUACUUGGUGUGAAUUGCAGAAUCCCGUGAACCAUCGAAUCUUUGAACGCACAUUGCGCCCCCUGGUAUUCCGGGGGGCAUGCCUGUUCGAGCGUCAUUUCACCACUCAAGCCUCGCUUGGUAUUGGGCAACGCGGUCCGCCGCGUGCCUCAAAUCGACCGGCUGGGUCUUCUGUCCCCUAAGCGUUGUGGAAACUAUUCGCUAAAGGGUGUUCGGGAGGCUACGCCGUAAAACAACCCCAUUUCUAAGGUUGACCUCGGAUCAGGUAGGGAUACCCGCUGAACUUAAGCAUAUCAAUAAGCGGAGGA